ACUCCGGUUGAUCCUGCCGGACCUCACUGCUAUCGGGGGGAGACUAAGCCAUGCAAGUCUAGGCCCAUAGCCACCUGUGGGCCUGGCGUACGGCUCAGUAACACGUGGCCAACCUACCCUGAGGAGGCGGAUAACACCGGGAAACUGGUGCAUAAACCGCCAUAGGUGAGAGGAUCUGGAACGACCUCUCGCCGAAAGAUGUACACGGGGAUGCCUGUGUACAUGCCUCAGGAUGGGGCUGCGGCCCAUCAGGUAGUUGGUGGGGUAACGGCCCACCAAGCCUAUAACGGGUACGGGCCCUGAGAGGGGGAGCCCGGAGAUGGACUCUGAGACAAGAGUCCAGGCCCUACGGGGCGCAGCAGGCGCGAAACCUCCGCAAUGCGCUCACGCGUGACGGGGUCACCCCGAGUGCCACCCUCGUGGUGGCUUUUGCGCAGUGUAAAAAGCUGCGCGAAUAAGCGGGGGGCAAGACGGGUGUCAGCCGCCGCGGUAAUACCCGCUCCGCGAGUGGUGAGGACUAUUACUGGGCUUAAAGCGUCCGUAGCCGGCUCGGCGUGCUCCGCGUUAAAUCCAGCAGCCUAACUGCUGGGCCGCGCGGAUGACUGCCGGGCUUGGGGGUGGGAGAGGGCAGCGGUAUUCCCGGGGUAGGGGUAAAAUCCACUGAUCCCGGGAGGACCACCAGUGGCGAAGGCGGCUGCCCAGAACACGCCCGACGGUGAGGGACGAAAGCUGGGGGAGCGAUCGGGAUUAGAUACCCCGGUAGUCCCAGCCGUAAACGAUGCGGGCUUGGCGUCGGAGCGGCUACGAGCCGUUCCGGUGCAGAAGGGAAACCAUUAAGCCCGCCGCCUGGGGAGUACGGCCGCAAGGCUGAAACUUAAAGGAAUUGGCGGGGGAGCACCACAAGGGGUGGACGUUGCGGCUUAAUUGGAGUCAACGCCGGAAACCUUACCGGGGGCGACAGCAGGAUGAUGGCCAGGUUAAAGGCCUUGCCGGACGAGCUGAGAGGAGGUGCAUGGCCGUCGCCAGUGCGUGCCGUGAGGUGUCCUGUUAAUUCAGGCAACGGACGAGACCCGCGCCUCCAGUUGCGACCGGGCCGAAAGGCGCCGAGCACUCUGGAGGGACUGCCCCGGAAACGGGGAGGAAGGAGCGGGCUACGGCAGGUCAGUAUGCCCCGAAUCCCCCGGGCCGCACGCGACGUUCAAUGGUGGGGACAGUGGGCUGCGACCCCGAAAGGGGAAGCCAAUCCCUAAACCCCACCUCAGUAGGGAUCGAGGGUUGCAACUCGCCCUCGUGAACGCGGAAUCCCUAGUAACCGCCCGUUACCACCGGGCGGUGAAUACGUCCCCGCUCCUUGCACACACUGCCCGUCGCUGCACCCGAGCUGGAACUGGGCGAGGGCCCGUCUCGUUGGCGGGUUCGAGCCCGGUUCUGGUGAGGGGGCAGAAGUCGUAACAAGGUGGCCGCACGGGAACGUGUGGCCGGAUCACCUCCU
rfam:Candidatus Caldiarchaeum subterraneum DNA, complete genome, from subsurface mine microbial mat.